GCCUCAAAAAAAAAAAAAAAAAAAAAAAGAAUUCCUACAACUCAACAACAAAAAAUAUCCAGCCCAAUUAAAAAAUGGGCACAGACCCAAAUCGACAUUUCUUAGAAGACACACAAAUGGUCAAUAAGCUCAUGAAAAGAUGUUUAACAUCACUAAUCAUUAGGGAAGUGCACAUCAAAGCUAAAAUGAGAUACCACGUCACACUUAUUAGAUGUUAUUUUUUAAAAAUAACACAACAAAAAAAAUAAAUGUGGGCGAGGAUGUGAAGAAAUGGAAACCCUUGUGGACUGUUGUUGGGGAUGUAAAAUGGCACAGCUGCUGUGGAAAACAGUAUGGCAGUUCCUCACAAAACUAAACAGAAUUACCACAUGACCCAGCGAUCCUACCUCUGACAUAUACUGGAAAGAACUGAAAUAAGGCGCUGGAACAGACACUUGUAACCCACGUUCACAGCUGCACUAUUCAUAGUAGCCAAAAGGUGGGAGUAACCCGAAUGUCCAUCAGUGGAUGAACGGGUAAAUAGAUUUUCUUUCACUGGCAGUAAAAGCUGUGACUUUGGAGGCGACUGCAUUUCACACAGCUCUCCACACGGGUCUUGCUCAAACAGCACCUUCAGGGGAGCCGUCCCUCCCCUUAUCCCCAGCUCUCCCGGUGAGAAGUGGAGCUCCUCCUCUAAACUCCAGAACCCUCCACCCUGCAUUCCAGGCGUUUUAUUCUCAAUGGCCUGGUACAAAUCCUGACCCAAUAUUGGUAAGUAUUUGACAUUGCACAAUGCGUGGAGUGUCACAGAGACCGUGGUCAGUAAUAAAGGUGCAAUCGGCGUUGCCCUCUGCUGUCAUCGUUCACAGAGAUUCUCCACAAGGGCCAGUCUCCCAGCUUGAUGGUGAAUGGGUAGCAGGUGAAGUUGACACACAUACCCCAGAGUGCACAGCCCUGAACGUCCACACAUGACAAACACAUAAUCCCGUGUGUAGUAUUUGGAUGCACUCUACCUUGUUACAACUGGAGUUCAAACAAUUGGAUUAUGUAUUCCUCACAUAAACUUUGAAGUGGGGUUAGCUGGAUCUGCAUGCAAUGAUGCACGCUAAGCUUCAGCUUUUCUGGGAAAGCAUAAUCACGUCUCUGUAAGCAAAGAAAAACAUGAGUAUGAGUGAGCAGCUUUCUCCAACAGCGACAUGAUGGGGACACUCUACUGCCGUAGUACAAGUCACAUGCAAACACUUCCAAAUCCAACCCCUGCUCUCACUAGCCCUGUGACCUCGGAAGUCCCUUAACCUCCCGAACCUUGGUUUCCCCAUUUCUUUUGAGAUGUUUAUUGACCACCUGCUAUAUGCUUGGUCCUAUGAUAAUGGCUAAGAACACAGAAGAAUAAACUAAAACUAUAGACCUCCCCACUCGACAAAGA